GGUCGAAUGGUCUAGUGGUAUGAUUCUCGCUUAGGGUGCGAGAGGUCCCGAGUUCGAUCCCCGGUUCGACCC
rnacentral:tRNA from 1 species